rnacentral:tRNA from 1 species
AGAGUGAUUAAAACGGCCUUCUAAUUCGUUAAAAAGUGUAAACUUACACUCUA